CCGCGGGGAUGAUCCCCCUGAACUCUCUCUUGCCGAUGGCUCCCUGGGGAAACUCGUGACUCUCCUGAGCGGC
rnacentral:snoRNA from 1 species